rnacentral:rRNA from 1 species
AGAGUUUGAUCCUGGCUCAAGACGAACGCUGGCGGCGUGCUUAACACAUGCAAGUCGAGCGAUGAAGUUUCUUCGGAAAUGGAAUAGCGGCGAACGGGUGAGGAACACGUGAAGAAUCUGCCCUCCACUUUGGGAUAACACCGGGAAACCGGUGCUAAUACCGAAUAUUGAAACAUAAGUGGCAUCACUGAGUUUUGAAAGAAUUUCGGUGGAGGAUGACUUCGCGGCCUAUCAGCUAGUUGGUGAGGUAAUGGCUCACCAAGGCAACGACGGGUAGCCGGCCUGAGAGGGCGACCGGCCACACUGGGACUGAGACACGGCCCAGACUCCUACGGGAGGCAGCAGUGGGGAAUAUUGGGCAAUGGAGGAAACUCUGACCCAGCGACGCCGCGUGCGGGAUGAAGGCCUUCGGGUUGUAAACCGCUUUCAGUAGGGAAGAAGCGAAAGUGACGGUACCUACAAAAGAAGCACCGGCUAACUAUGUGCCAGCAGCCGCGGUAAUACAUAGGGUGCAAGCGUUGUCCGGAAUUAUUGGGCGUAAAGAGCUCGUAGGUCGUUUGUUACGUCGGAUGUGAAAACCUGAGGCUCAACCUCAGGCCUGCAUUCGAUACGGGCAAACUAGAGUUUGGUAGAGGAGACUGGAAUUUCCUGGUGUAGCGGUGGA